rnacentral:rRNA from 1 species
UGCAGAAUCCCGUGAACCAUCGAGUCUUUGAACGCAAGAUGCGCCCGAAGCCGCUAGGCCGAGGGCACGCCUGCCUGGGCGUCA